rnacentral:rRNA from 1 species
AUUGAACGCUGGCGGCGUGCUUAACACAUGCAAGUCGAACGAGAACGGAUUAUAGCUUGCUAUAAUUGUCAGCUAAGUGGCGCACGGGUGAGUAAUGUAUAGGUAAUAUGCCUCUUACUAAGGGAUAACAAAUGGAAACGUUUGCUAAUACCUUAUACUCCUUAUUAACAGAAGUUAAUAGGGGAAAGAUUUAUUGGUAAGAGAUUAGCCUGUAUUGUAUCAGUUAGUUGGUGGGGUAAUGGCUUACCAAGACUAUGACACAUAACUGGUUUGAGAGGAUGAUCAGUCACACUGGAACUGAGACACGGUCCAGACUCCUACGGGAGGCAGCAGUGGGGAAUAUUGCACAAUGGACGAAAGUCUGAUGCAGCAACGCCGCGUGGAGGAUGACACAUUUCGGUGCGUAAACUCCUUUUAUAUGAGAAGAUAAUGACGGUAUUAUAUGAAUAAGCACCGGCUAACUCCGUGCCAGCAGCCGCCGUAA